AAAUGUAGGUAAAUGUAGUUAAGGUUAUAUGAAGUAUUUCCAGUGAGUUUUUAAAAUGUAGUCAGAUGUAGUCAAAUGUAGUUAAGGUUAUAUGCGCUGUUUCCAGUGUGUUUUUAAAAUGUAAUCAAAUGUAGAUAAAUGUAGUUAAGGUUAUAUGAAGUGUUUCCAGUGAAUUUUUAAAAUGUAGUUAGAUGUAGGUUAUAUGAAGUGUUUCCAGUGAGUUCAGUAUUCAUGAAAAAUUGUUCAGUACAACCAAAGUUCAUUACAACAGUACACUCUACUUCUUC
rnacentral:lncRNA from 1 species